rnacentral:rRNA from 1 species
UAGAGUUUGAUCAUGGCUCAGAUUGAACGCUGGCGGCAGGCCUAACACAUGCAAGUCGAGCGGAUGAAGGGAGCUUGCUCCCUGAUUUAGCGGCGGACGGGUGAGUAAUGCCUAGGAAUCUGCCUGGUAGUGGGGGAUAACGUUCCGAAAGGAACGCUAAUACCGCAUACGUCCUACGGGGGAAAGCAGGGGACCUUCGGGCCUUGCGCUAUCAGAUGAGCCUAGGUCGGAUUAGCUAGUUGGUGAGGUAAUGGCUCACCAAGGCGACGAUCCGUAACUGGUCUGAGAGGAUGAUCAGUCACACUGGAACUGGGACACGGUCCAGACUCCUACGGGAGGCAGCAGUGGGGAAUAUUGGACAAUGGGCGAAAGCCUGAUCCAGCCAUGCCGCGUGUGUGAAGAAGGUCUUCGGAUUGUAAAGCACUUUAAGUUGGGAGGAAGGGCGUUUGGCUAAUAUCCAAGCGUUUUGACGUUACCGACAGACUAAGCACCGGCUAACUUCGUGCCAGCAGCCGCGGUAAUACGAAGGGUGCAAGCGUUAAUCGGAAUUACUGGGCGUAAAGCGCGCGUAGGUGGUUCGUUAAGUUGGAUGUGAAAGCCCCGGGCUCAACCUGGGAACUGCAUCCAAAACUGGCGAGCUAGAGUACGGUAGAGGGUAGUGGAAUUUCCUGUGUAGCGGUGAAAUGCGUAGAUAUAGGAAGGAACACCAGUGGCGAAAGCGACUACCCUGGACUGAUACUGACACUGAAGUGCGAAAGCGUGGGGGAGCAAACAGGAUUAGAAUACCCUGGUAGUCCACGCCGUAAACGAUGUCAACUAGCCGUUGGGUUCSUUGAGAACUUAGUGGCGCASCUAACGCAUUAAGUUGACCGCCUGGGGAGUACGGCCGCAAGGUUAAAACUCAAAUGAAUUGACGGGGGCCCGCACAAGCGGUGGAGCAUGUGGUUUAAUUCGAAGCAACGCGAAGAACCUUACCUGGCCUUGACAUGCUGAGAACUUUCCAGAGAUGGAUUGGUGCCUUCGGGAACUCAGACACAGGUGCUGCAUGGCUGUCGUCAGCUCGUGUCGUGAGAUGUUGGGUUAAGUCCCGUAACGAGCGCAACCCUUGUCCUUAGUUACCAGCACGUUAUGGUGGGCACUCUAAGGAGACUGCCGGUGACAAACCGGAGGAAGGUGGGGAUGACGUCAAGUCAUCAUGGCCCUUACGGCCAGGGCUACACACGUGCUACAAUGGUCGGUACAAAGGGUUGCCAAGCCGCGAGGUGGAGCUAAUCCCAUAAAACCGAUCGUAGUCCGGAUCGCAGUCUGCAACUCGACUGCGUGAAGUCGGAAUCGCUAGUAAUCGUGAAUCAGAAUGUCACGGUGAAUACGUUCCCGGGCCUUGUACACACCGCCCGUCACACCAUGGGAGUGGGUUGCUCCAGAAGUAGCUAGUCUAACCUUCGGGGGGACGGUUACCACGGAGUGAUUCAUGACUGGGGUGAAGUCGUAACAAGGUAGCCGUA